GAUGAAGAACGCAGCGAACUGCGAUAAGUAAUGUGAAUUGCAGAAUUCAGUGAAUCAUCGAGUCUUUGAACGCACACUGCGCCCCCUGGCAUUCCGGGGGGCAUGCCUGUCCGAGCGUCAUUGCUGCCCUUCAAGCCCGGCUUGUGUGUUGGGUCGUCGUCCCCCCCGGGGGACGGGCCCGAAAGGCAGCGGCGGCACCGCGUCCGGUCCUCGAGCGUAUGGGGCUUUGUCACCCGCUCGAUUAGGGCCGGCCGGGCGCCAGCCGGCGUCUCCAACCUUCUAUUUUACCAGGUUGACCUCGGAUCAGGUAGGGAUACCCGCUGAACUUAAGCAUAUCAAUAAGCGGAGGA
rnacentral:misc_RNA from 1 species